rnacentral:rRNA from 1 species
GACGAACGCUGGCGGCGUGCCUAACACAUGCAAGUCGAGCGGAGCGGCGGACGGGUGAGUAAUGCCUAGGAAUCUGCAUGGUAGUGGGGGAUAACGUCCGGAAACGGGCGCUAAUACCGCAUACUAUCAGAUGAGCCUAGGUCGGAUUAGCUAGUUGGGGGGGUAAAGGCCUACCAAGGCGACGAUCCGUAACUGGUCUGAGAGGAUGAUCAGUCAGACUGGAACUGAGACCCGGGCCAGACUCCUACGGGGAGCAGCAGUGGGGAAGAUUGGACAAAGGGCGAAAGCCUGAACCAGCCAUGCCGCGUGGGUGAAGAAGGGCUUCGGAUUGUAAAGCACUUUAAGUUGGGAGGCGUUACCAACAGAAUAAGCACCGGCUAACUUCGUGCCAGCAGCCGCGGUAAUUC